rnacentral:lncRNA from 1 species
UAAAACUCUAAUAUUAUAAAUAUACUUUUAUUAAUCUAUCAAGAACAAAAACUUGAUGAAAAUAAAUAAAAAAAAUGAGACUUUUCAAAGACAUAUAACAAAAUAGAAAUAAGAAAGUAUAUAUAUUAAAAAGAAACUAGAAUGGCUAUUGCCAAAAGGCAAGAAAAUUAGAAACUUCUUAAAGCUAGACUAGAAAUAAGAAAGGAGU